CCUGCUGCUGCUGCUACUGCUCCUUCUAAUCACGGCCCCCUCGGCGCCCCCCUUCUCCGAGGCCAGUCGCCUGCCCUCCUCCCAGUCCUCUCCCCUCUCCGAGAAGGGAAGAAGCGAGAGGGAGAGGUGGGAGGGGGCAAGAGCAGCGUCCAAAGAGAGCGGGAGAGGAAUCCUUUUUUGGGAGAGCAGUUAGGAGGGCUGGGGUGGGGGUGGGGGCUGUCUUUGUUUAAAUGCUUGGCAUUCCUGUCAUCGUGCUUGCUUACGGGGUAGACCCUGUGUGUGCGUGCGCCUGGGGAAUAAACACAUGUUGGAAGCCUCGAUAUUAUUUUCUAAGCAGAAACCUGCAGCCUUUAGUAACUGGCAAAGUGUAGCGUCACCUAUCUGGAUAAAAGGGAAAUAAACUUUAAUGGCAACUUUGUGUACCGAAGAGUCCCUAGCUCCUUUUCUCUCCUUUUGACUUUGUGCCACUUGAUCGUACAUGGUAUUCCCCCACGCGAGGCUUCCCCACUUUUCAGUCACUGCCGCCGCAUCCUGCCUCAUCGAAUUUCAUUUCUGGUUGUUUUCUAAACUGUAGCCAUUUGCUCUUAUUUCAGUGGCUGUCGGGGCCCAGCCAGGAUGGGAGGGGGGGCGGUGUUGAGAUAAGCAGGAGAUACUUGGGAAGAAUUCUUACACUUCAAAGAAGAAAAGAGGCUGCUGCUGGAUUUUGGUUGGUCCUCAUCUGGUCUGCUCAAUCUAUAGGAAUUGAAGGGCCUCCUCUUAAAGGAAAAUUUAAAGCAAAAAGAAGAAAAGAUAAAGAAAUCCGUCCAGAGUGGAUGUUAGCCUGAUCAUACCACCUAUUUGGAGGAAAGAAAUAGUACCUACCCUUGCCUUUUCGAUGACAAAAUAAACAAUGAGAUCCUGCUGUAUAGCGCCGGGAA
rnacentral:lncRNA from 1 species